UAACAGCUGGAAACGGCUGCUAAUACCGCAUAAGCGCACAGAGCUGCAUGGCUCGGUGUGAAAAACUCCGGUGGUAUGGGAUGGGCCCGCGUCUGAUUAGGCAGUUGGCGGGGUAACGGCCCACCAAACCGACGAUCAGUAGCCGGCCUGAGAGGGCGACCGGCCACAUUGGGACUGAGACACGGCCCAAACUCCUACGGGAGGCAGCAGUGGGGAAUAUUGCACAAUGGGGGAAACCCUGAUGCAGCGACGCCGCGUGAGCGAAGAAGUAUUUCGGUAUGUAAAGCUCUAUCAGCAGGGAAGAUAAUGACGGUACCUGACUAAGAAGCCCCGGCUAACUACGUGCCAGCAGCCGCGGUAAUACGUAGGGGGCAAGCGUUAUCCGGAUUUACUGGGUGUAAAGGGAGCGUAGACGGCAAGGCAAGUCUGAUGUGAAAACCCAGGGCUUAACCCUGGGACUGCAUUGGAAACUGUCUGGCUCGAGCGCCGGAGAGGUAAGCGGAAUUCCUAGUGUAGCGGUGAAAUGCGUAGAUAUUAGGAAGAACACCAGUGGCGAAGGCGGCUUACUGGACGGUAACUGACGUUGAGGCUCGAAAGCGUGGGGAGCAAACAGGAUUAGAUACCCUGGUAGUCCACGCCGU
rnacentral:rRNA from 1 species